UCGGAUGCUGACUGCAAACUCCGCACCGAGGCAGGUACGCGUGGUUCUCGCCCGGCGCGAGGAUCCGGGACCCGCGGCGCUCCCGCUGAACUGACGCACUGGUUCCCCCAGGCUCGGGCUGUCCUCAGUCGUCCCUCUUCCUUCUCGGAGAGGAGCGCAGGGUGUGUGCGAACCUACACCGCGCUUCUCAGUGAUCACAGGUUUUAUUUUUGCCCUCGGAAUAUGGAAAGAAGGAAGGAGUUGAGAGGCUACAGAGGACUUCCCAAAUCGCUUUUUGCAAACCUGAUGCAACCCUACCAAUAAAAUGUAGUCUUCAU
rnacentral:lncRNA from 1 species